GCCCGUGUGGUGAUUUCACGCCAAACUGCAAAUUUGGAGACGCACCUUGAUUGGUUGCCGGGGCUUC
rnacentral:tRNA from 1 species